rnacentral:siRNA from 1 species
CCUUGAUGGAGAUGCCCUUACA